rnacentral:rRNA from 1 species
CUACGGGACGCUCCAGUGGGGAAUAUUGCACAAUGGGCGAAAGCCUGAUGCAGCAACGCCGCGUGAGGGACGACGGCCUUCGGGUUGUAAACCCCUUUUAGCAGGGAAGAAGCGAAAGUGACGGUACCUGCAGAAAAAGCACCGGCUAACUACGUGCCAGCAGCCGCGGUAAUACGUAGGGUGCAGAGCGUUGUCCGGAAUUAUUGGGCGUAAAGAGCUCGUAGGCGGUUUGUCGCGUCUGCUGUGAAAAUCCGAGGCUCAACCUCGGACCUGCAGUGGGUACGGGCAAACUAGAGUGCGGUAGGGGAGAGUGGAAUUCCUGGUGUAGCGGUGGAAUGCGCAGAGAUCAGGAGGAACACCAAUGGCGAAGGCAGAUCUCUGGGCCGUAACUGACGCUGAGGAGCGAAAGCGUGGGGAGCGAACAGGAUUAGAUACCCUCGUAGUC